UACGUAGGGGGCAAGCGUUGUCCGGAAUCAUUGGGCGUAAAGCGCGUGUAGGCGGUUCAGUAAGUCUGCUGUGAAAGUCCAGGGCUCAACCCUGGGAUGCCGGUGGAUACUGCUGGGCUAGAGUGCGGAAGAGGCGAGUGGAAUUCCCGGUGUAGCGGUGAAAUGCGCAGAUAUCGGGAGGAACACCAAUUGCGAAGGCAGCUCGCUGGGACGUCACUGACGCUGAGACGCGAAAGCGUGGGGAGCAAACAGG
rnacentral:rRNA from 1 species